AUUUGUGUAGUUUAUUAAAAAUAUUGAUUUGUGGUAUCAGUGAAGUAAAUUUAAUUUACCUCAAAUU
rnacentral:tRNA from 1 species